rnacentral:rRNA from 1 species
UACGUAGGGUGCGAGCGUUGUCCGGAAUUAUUGGGCGUAAAGGGCUCGUAGGCGGUUUGUCGCGUCGGGAGUGAAAACCCAGGGCUUAACUCUGGGCUUGCUUUCGAUACGGGCAGACUAGAGGUAUGCAGGGGAGAACGGAAUUCCUGGUGUAGCGGUGAAAUGCGCAGAUAUCAGGAGGAACACCGGUGGCGAAGGCGGGUCUCUGGGAAGUAACUGACGCUGAGAAGCGAAAGCGUGGGUAGCGAACAGG